GUGGGGAAUCUUGCGCAAUGGGGGAAACCCUGACGCAGCGACGCCGCGUGGAGGAUGAAGGUCUUCGGGUUGUAAACUCCUUUUCUUGGGGACAAUAGUGAUGGUACCCAAGGAAUAAGCCACGGCUAACUCUGUGCCAGCAGCCGCGGUAAGACAGAGGUGGCGAGCGUUGUUCGGAAUUACUGGGCUUAAAGGGCGAGUAGGCGGUGGGACAAGUCUGAGGUGGAAUCCUACGGCUUAACUGUAGAAUUGCCUUAGAGACUGUUUUACUUGAGUCAGUGAGGGGAGGGCGGAAUUCCCGGUGUAGCGGUGAAAUGCGUAGAUAUCGGGAGGAAGGCCGGUGGCGAAGGCGGCCCUCUGGCACUGUACUGACGCUGAGGCGCGAAAGCGUGGGGAGCAAACAGGAUUAGAUACCCCGGUAGUCC
rnacentral:rRNA from 1 species